rnacentral:rRNA from 1 species
CCGCAACGAGCCGCAACCCUUGUCCUUAGUUGCUAACACCGAAAGGGAGCACUCUAAGGAGACUGCCCCAGUCAAUGGGGAGGAAGGUGGGGAUGACGUCAAGUCAUCAUGGCCCUUAUAUCCCGGGCUGCACACGUGCUACAAUGGCCGGUACAGCGAGUAGCGACACCGCCGAGGUGGAGCAAAUCUCCAAAACCGGUCUCAGUUCGGAUUGAAGUCUGCAACUCGACUUCAUGAAGCUGGAAUCGCUAGUAAUGGCGGAUCAGCUACGCCGCCGUGAAUACGUUCCCGGGCCUUGUACACACCG